UGAUUCCGUCUUUGUACGAUGGAUCUCAAAACAAUAUCAUUAUUCCUAACCUUAAUCGCUUUGGCACAGUGUGAUAAUAAAGCAGCAGAUGAUGUCAUAGGAAAUGAUAGCGAACUAGUUGAUAUUAGCAACGAAGAUGUUGCAAAUGAAGGUCGAGCUGCUGCAGUCAAUGACGAAGAGAAUCUCACUAACGAACGCGCUGCAGA